rnacentral:rRNA from 1 species
AGGACGAACGCUGGCGGCGUGCUUAACACAUGCAAGUCGAGCGGAAAGGCCCUUCGGGGUACUCGAGCGGCGAACGGGUGAGUAACACGUGAGUAACCUGCCCCUAGCUCUGGGAUAGCUUCGGGAAACCGGGAUUAAUACCAGAUACGACCACUUUAGACAUCUGUCGUGGUGGAAAGGAUUCCGGCUAGGGAUGGGCUCGCGGCCUAUCAGCUUGUUGGUGGGGUAACGGCCUACCAAGGCGACGACGGGUA